GAUGAACGCUGGCGGCGUGCCUAGUACAUGCAAGUCGAGCGAACGGACGAGAAGCUUGCUUCUCUGAUGUUAGCGGCGGACGGGUGAGUAACACGUGGAUAACCUACCUAUAAGACUGGGAUAACUUCGGGAAACCGGAGCUAAUACCGGAUGAUAUUUUGAACCGCAUGGUUCAAAAGUGAAAGACGGUCUUGCUGUCACUUAUAGAUGGAUCCGCGCUGCAUUAGCUAGUUGGUAAGGUAACGGCUUACCAAGGCAACGAUGCAUAGCCGACCUGAGAGGGUGAUCGGCCACACUGGAACUGAGACACGGUCCAGACUCCUACGGGAGGCAGCAGUAGGGAAUCUUCCGCAAUGGGCGAAAGCCUGACGGAGCAACGCCGCGUGAGUGAUGAAGGUCUUCGGACCGUAAAACUCUGUUAUUAGGGAAGAACAUAUGUGUAAGUAACUGUGCACAUCUUGACGGUACCUAAUCAGAAAGCCACGGCUAACUACGUG
rnacentral:rRNA from 1 species